rnacentral:misc_RNA from 1 species
GUUUUUGCUAACCAGCCAUCUUAAAAUGGAUUCAUUUGCAAUUGAACAGUAUAAAUUUACAUAUUAAUUGUAUUGUUUUAUGCUCUACUUCCUUCUCACGGCGAGAGUCCUGCUACUAUACUGCUGGUCAGUCGGACCGAGCCAUGAUCCGGAAGACCGGAAGGGAGUCAUUCAUGAUCUCCCUCUUAAAACAAUUAAUAAGGCUAGCUUGAAGCUUCU